rnacentral:misc_RNA from 1 species
AAAGUCGUAACAAGGUUUCCGUAGGUGAACCUGCGGAAGGAUCAUUAACAAAUCUGCUAUAUGGGCGGGCCUCGGCCCGUGCAUAUAUAUCUACCCCGAGCCUGGCAGUGAUGCCGGGCUUUGGUUGGGCGGGUGCGCAAGCACCUGCUCGGUCGGCUAGUGUCGUGCGUGUUGGGGCCCGCUAGGGUCCUGGCUGUACGGCGCGGCUACAUAGACGCUUGUAUGGUUUGACAGAGGUUUACACGGUUGUAAAACUAAAAUGACAACUUUUAACAAUGGAUCUCUUGGCUCUU